rnacentral:rRNA from 1 species
GUGAGGAAUAUUGCGCAAUGGAGGCAACUCUGACGCAGCCAUGCCGCGUGCAGGAAGAAGGCGCUACGCGUUGUAAACUGCUUUUAACCGGGAAGAAACCCCAGGACGUGUCCUGGGUUGACGGUACCGGAGGAAUAAGCACCGGCUAACUUCGUGCCAGCAGCCGCGGUAAUACGAAGGGUGCAAGCGUUAUCCGGAUUCAUUGGGUUUAAAGGGUGCGUAGGCGGAGCGUUAAGUCAGUGGUGAAAUCCUGCAGCUUAACUGUAGACUUGCCAUUGAUACUGGCGCUCUUGAGUGCGCUUGAAGUGGGCGGAAUGUGCCGUGUAGCGGUGAAAUGCUUAGAUAUGGCACAGAACACCAAUUGCGAAGGCAGCUCACUAAGGCGAUACUGACGCUGUGGCACGAAAGCGUGGGGAUCGAACAGGAUUAGAUACCCGGGUAGUCC